UAGCAGAAGGUGGAUUUGAAAGGGUGAAGGAUUAUUCAAAAUAUGAAGUUUGUUUUUGGUGAAGGCUGAUAGAAACAUACUUUAAUCAUUGGUGGAUUGACAAUAAUUAUAAAAUGUUUCAUUUACCUUUGGCACUGAAUACAGAUGAUUACUCGAAUUUUUAUCCACACAAAAUACAGAAUUGUCCCAUUUUACAAAAAGUAUCCUUAUAUAAAACUAUUCCUUAUUACUACUGAAAACUGUAACCAAACUGAAAUAACUGAGAACUAACGAACGGAAACUAUAAUAAAAAAUACGAACAAUGUAAGGAUUGGGAUGACAAAAAAUUUCAAUUUCAAAACACCAAAAGUUGAAAAUUCUUUUUGACAAUGACAGAUAAUAAUUAAUUAGACUGACUCAGCGGGGACUCGAACAAUUCAGAAUAGCGCCAUUUUGGGAAAACUCUCGUAAGUAUAGUUUAAAGCAACAGGUGGUUCCUUCAAAUAGUUCUAAACAAAAUCUAAUCGUUGAAACACCAGGGUUUCUAGGAAUCUUAAUCCAAACCACGUGACCCAAUAUGGCGGCGUAGGGCAAACGAUCUGAUUAUUGUCAUAAGAGCACCAUUGGUUUUGUUAUCAUUAGCUAUUGUGGUGUUUUUACACAUUUUGGAGCUUUUGUGGUUUUUAAAUUCAAUCAAAAUGGAAAGUGAAUACUUGAAAUCACUAUUGCUGAACAGAACAGACGUUGCUAAACGGUAUAUAACGAAGUUGAGAUUGGUCAAUGGUUUAGACCUUUUCUCAUUGAAUGUUUCUGAUUUGAAUUAUUCAAUUGAUGGUGUUCCUCCAGUUACAUAUAUGGAUAUUGAUUCGUAUUUGGAUUUUAUCCAUAGCUUUUAUUCGCAUGUGCAGAUGAAGGCAUAUAAAAGUUUGGAAUCGUAUAAAUAAUUCGAAUCUGGCUUCGUUGUGAAGGUGGGAACAAAGAUUGAGAACAAUUUAUACAUUUUAGUUGGACAGGAGAACAGUGAAGUUUGUAGUCACGUUGGCGCCAUAUUAUUUGCUGCUGAUUAUGCAAAUAUUAAGAAAGCAGCAAUGUCAUGCACAGAUAUAGAAGCUGUAUGGCCAAUGCCAUCAAUGACACAGAUGUUCCCAAUUGUACCAGUACAUGAAAUGGAUUGUGGGUUUACAAUUACUAUGGAAUUUCUUCAAGUAAUGGCAGAGUCAAUUGAAAAUAUUUUGAAUUGUUGAACUUGUUUUGUAUGAAA